UGAAACCACCGCGGGGCGACGGAAGUCCCCGUUGAAGAGUGUAGGUGUUGAGGAUGGCAGGCAAAUCCACCGUCCGAGCUGAACUUGAUAGUAUGGAGUCUUCUUCGGAAGAAUCCAAUAGUGUGGGUAAUCAUACUCCCGAGAAAAUCCGCUAAGCUUAACCCAUGCGGCACCCGUACCGCAAACGGACACACGUGGUCGGGUAGAACAUACUGAGGCGUUGAGAGAUUCAUGGUUAAGGAACUAGGCAAAUUGACCCCGUAACUUCGGGAUAAAGGGUCCUCGUGAAUAGCGAGGCGCAGAGAAUAGGUCCAGGCAACUGUUUAACAAAAACACAGGGCUGUGCAAACUCGAAAGAUGACGUAUACAGCCUGACACCUGCCCGGUGCCGGAAGGUUAAGAGGAGAUGUCACUCGCAAGAGGAAGCAUUGAAUUGAAGCCCCGGUAAACGGCGGCCGUAACGAUAACGGUCCUAAGGUAGCGAAAUUCCUUGUCGGGUAAGUUCCGACCUGCACGAAUGGUGUAAUGAUCCGGACGCUGUCUCAACCAUGAGCUCAGUGAAAUUGUAGUAUCGGUGAAGAUGCCGAUUACCCGCGAUGGGACGAAGAGACCCCGUGAACCUUUACUACAGCUUAGCAUUGACCUUGGUCAUCCGAUGUGUAGGAUAGGCCGGAGGCUUCGAAGCGGGAGCGCCAGCUUUCGUGGAGCCAUCCUUGAAAUACGGCCCUUUGGCUGUCUGAGGUCUAACGCGCGAUGCGCGGACACUGCUUGGUGGGUAGUUUGACUGGGGUGGUCGCCUCCAAAAGCGUAACGGAGGCUUCCAAAGGUGCCCUCGGGUCGAUUGGUAACCGACCUCAAAGAGUGCAAUGGCAUAAGGGCGCUUGACUGGGAGGCAGACAUGCCGAGCAGGCAGGAAACUGGGGCAUAGUGAUCCGGCGGAUGUGUAUGGAAACUCCGUCGCUCAAAGGAUAAAAGGUACUCCGGGGAUAACAGGCUGAUCCCCCCCAAGAGCUCAUAUCGACGGGGUGGUUUGGCACCUCGAUGUCGGCUCGUCACAUCCUGGGGCUGGAGAAGGUCCCAAGGGUUGGGCUGUUCGCCCAUUAAAGUGGCACGCGAGCUGGGUUCAGAACCUCGUGAGACAGUUCGGUCUCUAUCUAUCGUGGGCGUGGGAGUUUUGCGUGGUGCCGUCACUAGUACGAGAGGACCGUGAUGGACAGACCUCCGGUUUACCAGUUGUGCCGCCAGGCGCACUGCUGGGUAUCUGAGUCUGGAUUGGAUAAGCGCUGAAAGCAUCUAAGUGCGAAGCCAGCCGCAAGAUGAGAACUCCAUUGAGGGUCGUCAGAGACGAUGACGUUGAUAGGAUGCAGGUGUAAAGACAGCGAUGUCAAAGCCGAGCAUUACUAAUUGCCC
rnacentral:rRNA from 1 species